GAGCAAUUUAAGUGCCAGGAUUCAAAACCAAGUUGAAAGUGAGUGGCAGAAGGUCAAGUCAAAAGUAUUAGGCAUAUGUCAGUGCACAGUUACUAGGAGAGAGCAGGCUUCUGUAAAACCAGGGAAGCACAAUAGGAUUCUGAUGAAGAUCGGAGACAGAGAUCAACUGCCAUGGCCUUUAUACACAAUAUGGGUUACAGUCCUGAUGUUGGUUGUGCUGCAUUGUCAUCUGGUGGCUCACUUGGGAGAGAAAAACUGUUCCCAGUCUCAUGUAAUCCUAUAUGAAUAGAAAUACAAGGAAAACAUGAUUUAACAGUAGGGAAACAUAAAGAAGAUACAACAAUUUUAUUUCUCCUGGUGAUGUUUCUUUGCAAGUGGCUUUGGUCAAAG
rnacentral:lncRNA from 10 species